rnacentral:rRNA from 1 species
CAAAGAACGCAGACAGUGGAUGCCUUGGUAGCAAGAGCCGAAGAAGGACGUAAUUGGCCGCGAUAGUCGUCGGGUAGGAGCCAGUAUCCUAUGAUCCGGCGGUUUCCGAAUGGGGCAACCCAGCCAGCUUCAUCGCUGGUUACUCCACAGUGAAACUUUAUGCCGCAAGGUGUAGAUAUAGCUGUGGCAGGGGGAACUCGGGGAACUGAAACAUCUAAGUACCCGAAGGAAAAGAUACCGAAAGUAUUCCGUGAGUAGCGGUGAGCGAAAGCGGAAAAGCCCAAACCCCGGCGCAAGCCGAGGGUGUUGUAGGACUCCAAUGUGGGACUUUGCUUGGUAGAAGAAUGAUAUGGAAUUGUCAACCAAAGAGAGUGAAAGUCUCGUAUUCGAAAUCAAGCAGAGCUCUAGGAGAUUCCUGAGUACCACGGGACACGCGAAAUCUUGUGGGAAUCUACCCGGACCACCGGGUAAGGCUAAAUACUCUUGCUGACCGAUAGUGAACUAGUACCGCGAGGGAAAGGUUAAAAGAUGGGCGGGACGCCCAGUGAAAUAGAACCUGAAACUGUUUGCGAACA